rnacentral:rRNA from 1 species
UACGAAGGGGGCUAGCGUUGUUCGGAAUUACUGGGCGUAAAGCGCACGUAGGCGGAUAUUUAAGUCAGGGGUGAAAUCCCAGAGCUCAACUCUGGAACUGCCUUUGAUACUGGGUAUCUUGAGUAUGGAAGAGGUAAGUGGAAUUGCGAGUGUAGAGGUGAAAUUCGUAGAUAUUCGCAGGAACACCAGUGGCGAAGGCGGCUUACUGGUCCAUAACUGACGCUGAGGUGGCGAAAGCGUGGGGAGCAAAC